rnacentral:rRNA from 1 species
GGAUGAACGCUGGCGGCGUGCUUACCCCAUGCAAGUCGAACGGGAAACCUUUUAUUGAAGCUUCGGCAGAUUUAGCUGGUUUCUAGUGGCGGACGGGUGAGUAACGCGUGGGUAACCUGCCUUAUACAGGGGGAUAACAACCAGAAAUGGUUGCUAAUACCGCAUAAGCGCACAGGACCGCAUGGUCCGGUGUGAAAAACUCCGGUGGUAUAAGAUGGACCCGCGUUGGAUUAGCUAGUUGGCAGGGUAACGGCCUACCAAGGCGACGAUCCAUAGCCGGCCUGAGAGGGUGAACGGCCACAUUGGGACUGAGACACGGCCCAGACUCCUACGGGAGGCAGCAGUGGGGAAUAUUGCACAAUGGGGGAAACCCUGAUGCAGCGACGCCGCGUGAAGGAAGAAGUAUCUCGGUAUGUAAACUUCUAUCAGCAGGGAAGAUAGUGACGGUACCUGACUAAGAAGCCCCGGCUAACUACGUG